rnacentral:rRNA from 1 species
GUGCAAAGGUAGCAUAAUCACUAGUCUUUUAAUUGAAGGCUUGUAUGAAUGGCUGGACGAGGUAUUAGCUGUCUCCUCUCAGAUAACUGAAUUUUACUUCUUUGUUAAAAGGCGAAGAUGUUGUUGAAGGACGAGAAGACCCUAUAAAGCUUUACAGGAUAGGAUAUAAAUACUUAGAAGAUUUUAUAUUUAUAUUUGUACUUGUUGGAUUGGGGUGAUUGGGAUAUAGGGAAACUAUUCAUAAUUUUACACUGAUGUGUGGUUAAAUGAUCCAUUUUGUGAUUAUAAGAAUAAGUUACUUUAGGGAUAACAGCGUAAUCCUUUUGGAGAGUUCUAAUCGAUAAAAGGGUUUGCGACCUCAG